UCUAGCAAAGCCAAGUAAAUCUAAUUUUUAAGAAUUAUUCAAUAAAGGUACAGCUUUAUUGAAAAAGGAAACAACCUAAACCUUAGGAUAAUGAAUAUUUUUAAAUAGGUAAAAGGCCAAGUUGGCCUAAAAGCAGCCAUCUUUAAAGAUAGCGUCAAAGCUUCACCUUAAACACACCUUAAAUCUCAUUAUUUUUUCAUAAUCCAACAAUUCUACUAAGCCAUUCUAUACUUUUAUAGAAAAGUUUAUGUUAGGACUAGUAACACAGAAUAAUUUCUCUUACAUGUAAGUUUAAAUCAACCCGAAUACCUCCUUGAUAAUUACUCAAAUUUGAACCUUAAGUAGUACCUAUUAAUUACAAAAACCCUACUUAACUUAUUGUUAAUCAAACAUAUGGAUAUGAAAGAAAGAUUAAAAAAUUAAGAAGGAACUCGGCAAACACAAGUCCCGCCUGUUUACCAAAAACAUCGCCUUUUGAAAAGUAUAAAAGGUAACGCCUGCCCACUGACAGUAUGUUUAACGGCCGCGGUAUUCUGACCGUGCGAAGGUAGCGUAAUCACUUGUCUUUUAAAUGAAGACUCGUAUGAAAGGCAUCACGAGAACUUAGCUGUCUCCUUAAUUCAAUCAGUGAAACUGAUACCCCUGUAAAAAAGCAGGGAUGAUUACAUAAGACGAGAAGACCCUGUGGAGCUUAAAACAUAAGCUACUUCUAUACUCUACUAACUUAUAGUACUAAAAUACAAACCUAGCCUAAGUUUUCUGUUGGGGCGGCUGUGGAGAAAAACUUAUCCUCCAUGAAGAAAAAACUUUGAUCUACCGCUCUUAGUAUUAGCAAGCCUAACUUAAAUUGAUCCAAUUUUUGAUCAACGGACCAAGUUACCCCAGGGAUAACAGCGCAAUCCAUUUCAAGAGUCCCUAUCGACAAAUGGGUUUACGACCUCGAUGUUGGAUUAG
rnacentral:rRNA from 1 species